rnacentral:misc_RNA from 1 species
UUGGAUGAGGGAGGAUGCUUGUUUGUUCCUGAAAAUUCGCAAUUCCAUUAACAGUGAGGUAAUUAGCUUAAUUAAUCACUGUGAGUUUGUUAAAGAAUUGAUAAAUUAUUUAGAAUUCUUAUAUUCAGGUAAAGGAAAUAUCUCUUGUAUUUGUGAGGUAUGUAAGGCAUUUUAUCGUGCAGAGAAAUAAGAUAGGUUCUCACGGCCUAUUUUAUGGAUUUGAAAAGGAUCUAUGAGGAACCUAAUGUCUUAAUGUCGUUUAGUCCUGAUGUGAAAAUUCAGCAAACUCAAUGAGAACAAAUUGCUUUCAUGAGUUUUUUAGCAGGU